UACGUAGGGACCAAGCGUUGUCCGGAAUCAUUGGGCGUAAAGAGCGUGUAGGCGGCUUGUUAAGUCUUGCGUGAAAUCUCGGGGCUCAACCCCGAGCGGUCGUGAGAAACUGGCAGGCUAGAGUGCGGGAGAGGAGAGUGGAAUUCCUGGUGUAGCGGUGAAAUGCGCAGAUAUCAGGAAGAACACCCGUGGCGAAGGCGGCUCUCUGGACCGGUACUGACGCUGAUGCGCGAAAGCGUGGGGAGCAAACGGG
rnacentral:rRNA from 1 species